rnacentral:rRNA from 1 species
UAGGGAAUCUUCGGCAAUGGACGAAAGUCUGACCGAGCAACGCCGCGUGAGUGAAGAAGGUUUUCGGAUCGUAAAACUCUGUUGUUAGAGAAGAACAAGGACGUUAGUAACUUAACGUCCCCUGACGGUAUCUAACCAGAAAGCCACGGCUAACUACGUGCCAGCAGCCGCGGUAAUACGUAGGUGGCGAGCGUUGUUCGGAUUUAUUGGGCGUAAAGCGAGCGCAGGCGGUUUCUUAAGUCUGAUGUGAAAGCCCCCGGCUCAACCGGGGAGGGUCAUUGGAAACUGGGAGACUUGAGUGCAGAAGAGGAGAGUGGAAUUCCAGGUGUAGCGGUGAAAUGCGUAGAUAUAUGGAGGAACACCAGUGGCGAAGGCGGCUCUCUGGUCUGUAACUGACGCUGAGGCUCGAAAGCGUGGGGAGCAAACAGG